AAGGAAGUAACUUACCUGCAGUGUUAAGUGUUGGACAGUAAAAUUACUGUAAUUACGUUACUUUUGUAAUGCGUUACUCCCAACACUGGUGAUCAGAGUUUCAUUAGUGAGCUUGAGUAUUGAUGUAGGCAGGCAGAUCAGUCUACAGUUCAAAGCAUUCAUUUGGUUUUAAUGAGUAGAGAUGACUAUCAAACUAGUUGAUUCACCACAAAUGUAACACAAGUGCAGCUUAUCCUGCUGAUGGCUUCAUAUGAACACAACAUAAUGUCAAAGACAGUGGUCAAACGUGCUGUUAACACACUUGAACAAAGAUAUGCGUAAAAUAAAUCCUAACUCAUUGUAUGUAGUCCAUGACUAAAGUUACAAUAGUAACUUCAUGAGUAAUCUAGAUUUCCUGC